UACAGAGGUCUCAAGCGUUGUUCGGAAUUACUGGGCGUAAAGGGUGCGCAGGCCGCGCGGGCAGUCAAAUGUGUAAUUCAGGGGCUCAACCCCUGCACUGCGCUUGAUACUUCCGCGCUCGAGCUUUGGAGAGGAGUCUGGAAUUCUCGGUGUAGCAGUGAAAUGCGUGGAUAUCGAGAAGAACACUUAGGGCGUAGGCAAGACUCUGGACAAAUGCUGACGCUCAUGCACGAAGGCUAGGGUAGCGA
rnacentral:rRNA from 1 species